rnacentral:rRNA from 1 species
AAAUUGAAGAGUUUGAUCAUGGCUCAGAUUGAACGCUGGCGGCAGGCCUAACACAUGCAAGUCGAACGGUAACAGGAAGCAGCUUGCUGCUUUGCUGACGAGUGGCGGACGGGUGAGUAAUGUCUGGGAAACUGCCUGAUGGAGGGGGAUAACUACUGGAAACGGUGGCUAAUACCGCAUAACGUCUCAAGACCAAAGAGGGGGACCUUCGGGCCUCUUGCCAUCAGAUGUGCCCAGAUGGGAUUAGCUUGUUGGUGAGGUAACGGCUCACCAAGGCGACGAUCCCUAGCUGGUCUGAGAGGAUGACCAG